UUGGUACUUUGGUUAAUCGCAAGGGUAAAACUUUGAGGAAAGUCCGAACUUCAUAGGGCAGGAAGGCAGUUAAUGGCUGCUAGAAGUAAUUCUAAGGAAAGUGCCACAGAAAAUAGACCGCAAGAAAUUGUAAGGGUGAAACGGUGAGGUAAGAGCUCACCAGUGUCUUAGGAGACUAAGAUAGCUAGGUAAACCCCUUCUGAAGCAAGAAAAAUUAAAGAUAUAUCGGUUGCCCGCUGAGUCUUUGGGGUAUUCGCUUGAACCUAUACGCAAGUAUAAGUCUAGAAAAAUGAUUAACAAAUACAGAAUUCGGCUUAUAAAGUGCCAAGGAG
rfam:Sneathia amnii strain SN35, complete genome.